rnacentral:misc_RNA from 1 species
GAUGAAGAACGCAGCGAAAUGCGAUAAGUAAUGUGAAUUGCAGAAUUCAGUGAAUCAUCGAAUCUUUGAACGCACAUUGCGCCCGCUAGUAUUCUGGCGGGCAUGCCUGUUCGAGCGUCAUUUCAACCCUCAGGCCCCCAGUGCCUGGCGUUGGGGAUCGGCCGCUGGCGUCCUUCGGGGCGCCUGGCCGGCCCCGAAAUCUAGUGGCGGUCUCGCUGUAGUCCUCCUCUGCGUAGUAGCACAACCUCGCAGUUGGAACUCGGGUGGCCAUGCCGUUAAACACCCCACUUCUGAAAGUUGACCUCGGAUCAGGUAGGAAUACCCGCUGAACUUAAGCAUAUCAAUAAGCGGAGGA